rnacentral:rRNA from 1 species
CCUACGGGAGGCAGCAGUAGGGAAUUUUCCACAAUGGGCGAAAGCCUGAUGGAGCAACGCCGCGUGCAGGAUGAAGGCCUUCGGGUUGUAAACUGCUUUUAUAUGUGACGAAUAUGACGGUAGCAUAUGAAUAAGGAUCGGCUAACUCCGUGCCAGCAGCCGCGGUAAU